rnacentral:misc_RNA from 1 species
AAGUCGUAACAAGGUUUCCGUAGGUGAACCUGCGGAAGGAUCAUUAACACUUAUUAUUAUCCAAUAUCAAAAAUAAAACCAAACGGUCACAUAUCUCAUCCCUAUUUCGCACACCGGAGACGGUACGAUUAGGCUAACAUUUUUUUAAAUCUUUUUUUAAACCCCAUAACAAUAUUUCUGCUUAUUAAUAUUAAUUUAUUAAUAUAUAAAGAAGAAGAAAUAAAACAACUCUUCGUUAUGCUCUAAAAAAGCACCAACGAACUAAACUAAAAUAUACAUUUGAUUAUAUUUUUAUUUUACGAAAUAAUAUAUAUUUAUUAAGAACAACUCUUAGCAAUGGAUAUCUUGGUUCUC